UUAAUCCCAGGGAGUGAUGGUAGAAGGCAGAAAGAUAUAUAAGGCAUGAGGACCAGAAACUAGAAGCAUUUGGCUGGUUAAGCUUUCAGACUUUUGAGCAGCAGUUCUGCUGAGACCCAUUUUGGAUGAAGACUUAGAGGCUUCUAGUCUGAGGAAACAGGAUCAUCUGAGGAACUGGCAAGAUUGAUUAUGCCUCAGCCAGGAUGAUGAUCCAGCCUUUUGCAUGAAAGAUGAGCAUGGAUACAAGUGGGCCACACUUGAACAUUGGAGCCUGAUGUCAUCAGAGAACUAUGGAUACUCUAGUGCUUGUAUCACAGGGGUAUGCACACACUGAGUGCGGUUCCUGAGGAAGCCAUAAGAGGGUGCCAGAUCUCUUGCAGUGGAAUGUGCACACUGAGUGUGGGUUCCCACAGAGGCUGUAAGAGGGAGCAGCUGAAGUUACAGGUGGUUUUGAAUUGUCCAACAUGAGUGCUGGGAAACAAACUCAGGUUCUCUGCAAGAACAAUACCUCUCCUAAUCGCCAAGCCAGCUCUUUACCCAUCAUCCUGGGAGUAAGGUUUUUUUUUUUUUCCCAUCUUUCUUUAUUAAGAUAUUUUCUACUCACUCUACAUACCACGCACAGAUCCUCCCUCCUUCCACCCCCCAGCCCUCUCUCCC